UGCCGCUCAAAAAGAGAGGAUACUAUCCAUGUGUAAGUUAUUUUUUUAAUAAUAUUUAUAUUUAUUUAAUUGUAUAAUUUUCCCUUAAUCAAAUUAAUUGUAACUCAAAAGGCCAAAAGAAAAACCCUUAGAAACUAGUGGAAGAAAUUAUGCUUUUAAGGAUGUUUUAGUGAUUUUAUUGUGUUAAAAAAAGUAAAAUGCCAAAAAAGCCCAUGAAUGCUAAAUUUAAAAUAUUUAGCUUUUAAGGUUAGUCAAGUCGUUUCAUUAUAUUUUAAAAAUGGUAAAAGAAUGAUAUGCCUCAUAUAAAUCCAAUAAUAACCAUUGGAUAAUGUAAAAAAACCAUAUUACCCCGAACGGCAACAAGACUAUUGAUUUUUUCUUAAGAGUGACAAAAAUAUAAUUAAGACCGAUUGCUUUUAGAUUUUUGUUAACAUGCCAGUAUAUAAAUUUGUUCAAUCAUUAUUACGUAUGCGUACAAAUUUCAUAUAUUACUUUUUCCGAGACUAUGAUGAACAUUUAGGGCUUAUUUGAGUUGGUGUAGUGGUGGCUGUUUAAAGUAUUUUUCGUUUAGAAAUGUAUUAAAAUAAAAUUUUUUUAUUUUUUAAAAAUUAAUUUUGACAUCAGUACAACAAAAUAAUCUGAGAACAUAAAAAAACACUACCACAAUCUUUAUUUUUUUAUUGUAAAAAAACCAUAUUACCCCGAACGGCAACAAGACUAUUGAUUUUUUGUUAAGAGUGACAAAAAUAUAAUUAAGACCGAUUGCUUUUAGAUUUUUGUUAACAUGCCAGUAUAUAAAUUUGUUCAAUCAUUAUUUUUUCCGAGACUAUGAUGAACUUUCGGGGCCUAUUUGAGUUGUCGUAGUGGUGGCUAUUUAAAGUGUUUUUCGUUUAGAAAUGUAUUAAAAUAAAGUUUUUUAUUUUUAAAAAUUAAUUUUGACAUCAACACAUCAAAAUAAUUUAAGAACAUAAAAAAACACUACCACAAUCUUUAUAUUUACCGACAUAAUUUUUCGUCGGUAUUUGUACUAUCAUUCACUUGGUAAUUAAUUUACUAACAAAAUCACUGAUGAAAAUGUUUUGUUGGUGAAUCUUUCAUCGGUAAUAUUUUGUUCCUUCGAUAAAUCUGUUGGUAGUAAAAAAAUAUUAUUACUGAUGGAUUUACUGACGGAAAAGGCAUGCAAAACAAAAUUGCCUACUUUAGUUUGUCAGUAUUUCCCUCGAAAAAAUACC
rnacentral:lncRNA from 1 species